GGCUCAGAUUGAACGCUGGCGGCAUGCCUUACACAUGCAAGUCGAACGGCAGCACGGGAGCAAUCCUGGUGGCGAGUGGCGAACGGGUGAGUAAUAUAUCGGAACGUGCCCAGUCGUGGGGGAUAACGUAGAGAAAUUUACGCUAAUACCGCAUACGAUYUAAGGAUGAAAGCGGGGGAUUCGCAAGGACCUCGCGCGAUUGGAGCGGCUGAUAUCAGAUUAGGUUGUUGGUGAGGUAAAAGCUCACCAAGCCGACGAUCUGUAGCUGGUUUGAGAGAACGACCAGCCACACUGGGACUGAGACACGGCCCAGACUCCUACGGGAGGCAGCAGUGGGGAAUUUUGGACAAUGGGCGAAAGCCUGAUCCAGCAAUGCCGCGUGCAGGAAGAAGGCCUUCGGGUUGUAAACUGCUUUUGUACGGAACGAAAAGGCUUGCCCUAAUACGGUGAGC
rnacentral:rRNA from 1 species